CGGUGGAGAGGUGCGUCUAGAACCGAGGCGUGCGGCCAAUCCGACUGUUCCGUUCCGCUGCCUCGUGCUACCCCUACGGCCUCGAACGCUGACAUUUAAAAGGGUAACAGCCCGGAGGCUGGAAGGGGGCCGCUGCUCCUCUUCGGGAGCGCCUCUUGGUCCCCGUGGCCUCUCCGGGCCUCCAGGCUCGCGGUCAGGCUUGCGGGGCCGCGGCGCACGCCUUCGCUAGGCACUGGCGCUCGUCCUCGUGACAAAAGAAAACUUCAGGCUCGGGUUUCCAGCUUGCAAACAGUUAAGUGACUUCCUGCAAACGCUAGAGUCCCAGCAACCAGCCUUCCAAUCAAAAUCAGGCAUCAUCGGAGGCUCUAGUCAUCUGAAGGCCAAAGGAAGGCUCUGCUUCUGAUUGCAACCACCUGGCUGUCAGCUGACUUCAAGUCUGUUUCCAGAUUCACACCUGUGGGCUUCUCUGCAAGGCUGCCCAGUGACAUGGCAGCCGGCUGCUCCUAGAACAAGCGAACCAAGAGAGCAUGAGAGAAAGCAUUGCAUGGAAGCCACAGUCUUUGCAUAUCAUAAUCUUGGAACUGAUCACUCAUCUCUUCUGCUGUAUUCUAUUUUUUUUAAGUGAGUCACUAAAUCCAUCGAGGGGAACCGAUGCAUCCUCAUUUGCUGGGGACUUUCCUAAGUUAACACUGAAAGUCCUACAUCCUGGGAAUCCCCUCAGUCCAGGGCAGACCACAAUGACUGGUCACCCUGAAUCUAGCUUACACUCAAGGGGAGGGAAUGACAUAGUGUGUGAAUACCAAGAGGAGGGAAUUGGCAAGGGUCACCUUGGAGGCUGGCUGCCACAUCAACCUUUCUUAGAUGUACUUUUCUUCAUUACUGAAAACAAUCAGGUCUGUGAGCCACUUUGUGAAUUAUAAAAUAUAUGUCUCAGUUUUUAAGUGAUAUGAUGAAUCAUACUAAAGUGAAGUGAAUAAAUACAUAAACCAA